UGGUGGUUCUAGUCAUUAAUGAGGAAGACAUUGACUCCUUGAUAUCAGACAGUUUAAAGGAAUGUAUAUUACCAGGCUGCUUGGGAAGCUUUAGGAAGAGUUGUUGGAUCACUCCAAAAGGAUGCCCUUUCUUCAUUCAUUAAAGCUGUCCGAGAUGCUCUUGAGAUAAAGAGCGAAGAAAAAGAAAGAUAUCUCUUUUUUUCUAUGAAGGCGACCAGCAGAGUGGUGGUGUUUGAAUCUUGUAUGGGGCUAAUGGAGCAGUUGAAAUGCGAGAACAAGCUGCUUUGGGGUUAGGGGAGUUAAUUGCUCUAACAAAUUUGGAGACAUUGAAGGAGUUUGUUAUUCCUGUAACUGGG